rnacentral:misc_RNA from 1 species
GCACAGAGCGAUUUAAAGGAAACAAGUUCUCUCUGUCUUCGACAUUCAACCAUGGCAGACGACGACUACAAUGAUGUGGAUAUGGGGUUAGUUCCGUCUCUUCUUUCUCUUUCUGUUGCACACGUAGACACACGCUCAAUACCGCAAACGACUAGGGUUUCUGUUUUUUUUUUCCUUAAAUUUUUAUGUUAAUCUAAUAUUACAUGCUCUGAUUGGUUGCCGAGAAAAUUAAUUUUAUUGAAUGAAACAAUACGAUAGUUAAGUUUUUGGUUCUCAAGAGGCUGAUCAGGCUAAGACAUCAUUUAUUUAAUUUCAAGCAUAUGGUUUAUUUCGAAAUCAAAAUAAAAAACUUAGAAUUGGAAAAAUCCUUAUAACGAAUCCUAGUUUUCGGAGCUCAAAUGUUAGGUUUUCGGGUUU